rnacentral:rRNA from 1 species
UGGGGAAUAUUGCACAAUGGGCGGAAGCCUGAUGCAGCGACGCCGCGUGAGGGAUGACGGCCUUCGGGUUGUAAACCUCUUUCAGCAGGGACGAAGCGAGAGUGACGGUACCUGCAGAAGAAGCGCCGGCCAACUACGUGCCAGCAGCCGCGGUAAGACGUAGGGCGCGAGCGUUGUCCGGAUUUAUUGGGCGUAAAGAGCUCGUAGGCGGCUUGUCGCGUCGAAUGUGAAAACCUGCAGCUCAACUGCAGGCUUGCAUUCGAUACGGGCAGGCUCGAGUUCGGUAGGGGAGACUGGAAUUCCUGGUGUAGCGGUGAAAUGCGCAGAUAUCAGGAGGAACACCGGUGGCGAAGGCGGGUCUCUGGGCCGAUACUGACGCUGAGGAGCGAAAGCGUGGGGAGCGAACA